UGCUCUAUUAGCUAAGAUGGUUAGGGCGUCUGCCUCGAAUGCGGGAAGUCGCGGGUUCAAACCCGACAGAGACAU